AUGGCUCGUACCAAGCAAACUGCGCGAAAAUCUACGGGCGGUAAGGCUCCCCGCAAGCAGCUAGCCACUAAAGCUGCUCGUAAGAGUGCUCCAGCUACUGGCGGUGUGAAGAAGCCUCACCGUUAUAGGCCUGGCACCGUGGCUUUGAGAGAGAUUCGGCGCUACCAGAAGUCUACCGAACUGCUGAUUCGUAAGCUGCCCUUUCAGCGGCUGGUACGUGAGAUAGCUCAGGACUUCAAGACUGAUCUACGUUUCCAGAGCUCGGCCGUGAUGGCCUUGCAGGAGGCCAGCGAAGCCUACCUCGUGGGGCUUUUUGAGGACACAAAUCUUUGCGCUAUCCACGCCAAGCGGGUCACCAUCAUGCCCAAGGAUAUCCAGCUAGCUCGCCGCAUCCGCGGGGAGAGGGCCUAAAUUGUCAUAAGAUCCGAAAACCCCAAAGGCUCUUUUCAGAGCCACCCACAUUUUCACUAAGAGUAGUUGUGACCUUGUGGUUCUCAAUUUUUGGGAGGACUUUAGUUAUAAGUGCUUUUGAAAUAGUAAAAAUGGACGUUAAAAUCGAAACAUCCCCCAGCAUCACGUUGUGGGGUUCAUGUAAGUAAGAUAUAUAUUUCAAAUGGUUGUUGAAAGCGGUGUUUUUUUUUCUUUUGAAAACUGAUUAUAUCAUUUGCCUAUUUAUUUAUUAAGGAAUAGCUCUGCUAUUAUAUACAGGGGGUCCCCAAAGUCUUAGUACCAUUUUGUACUUUUAAAGGUUAAAGUUGAUUCAAAUACACAGCAGUCCAGAAGUCUGAGUGCAGUUUUAAGCCACAGGGAGUAUCAUUUGCCUAUAUUGCUUGAUAUCAAAAUGUUACAAUUUUUUCAGAGAAAAUUGUUGAAAAUACUUUCCUUCAAUUUGCAUCUUAAUUUUAACUGCAGUUGUUUCUGUUGUCCUCUUCUGAGUGUCCAUUUUGAACUUAUGUUAAGUGGUUUGAGGUGCUGGCAUAGAAUAAUUUUCUGCAUGACUGCUUUCCUGUUUUUGCAGAAGUUUUUGAUGGAAUAGUGAGUCUUUAGACAAGUAACUGGUUGAAAUUUGGGUUUAUCGAUAUUAUGUUUGUUUCUGUAUCUUCUGUAUCUGAUCUGUCCCACUGACCAAUUUUUUCCAUUUUUUGAAUGAUUUUUAUGGAUUAUUACUUUAAAAUAAAGUUUGAAUUCUAGGUUCCCUUCCUUACUACUUGUUUUCCUUGAUAAUUUUUAUUUUUGUUCUUCCAGGUGAAUUUUAUUAUUUUUACUUUAUACAGUAACUAUUUUGAUUUGAAUUGGUAUAUUAUGAAAGAAGUAAGUUAAAGUAGUAUUAUAAUUUUUGAUAUAUUGGCAUGCUCAAUUGUUAUAAGUAGCUCUCCAAAUAGGUUUGUAUUUCUGUAAACAGUGUUUUGUAUUUGCAUUCAUUUUUUUUUAAAUAUAGAGAAAGGCUGACAAUUUAUAGGGAGUUGUUUAUUGUGGUUAUUGUUUCAAUUAAUUUUUAGUUGAAUCUCUAAGGUUCCCUAAGUUGACCAUCACAUAUAUCAUUUACAAAAAUUGACAAUUUUGUUUCCUUUUUGCUUAUGCUUGUUUCUUCAAUUUCUUUUUUUCCUUGUAAUUGCUAAAAAUAGCGUGUAUGACAUUAUACGAAAUAAUAAUGGUGAUAAUGGACUUUCUUGCUUUAAUCCCAAUCCUUAUUGUUUCUCAAAUACAUAUAAUUCUGGCUUUUGGUUUUAUAUAGAUAGUAUUUACUAAACCAAGGGAAGGUCAUUUAUGUCUGUGUUUUAAAAAAGGUUUAAACAUAAAUGGUCAUUGCAUUUUUGACAGCUUUUCCUGCAUCUAUUGAUAGUCAUUUAUUUUUGGUUAUUAAUAUGGUCUCUGAUAUUUGUAGAAUUUUCAAUACUGAACCAACCUUGCAUUCCUGGUAUUAAUAUUUUUAAUAUAUUGCUGUAUCUUGUUCAUCUAAUCUUGAGACACUGCUGUUAGACUUUACGGUCAAGAGGAUAUUGCAUCACUUCUUUAGUAAAUAAACUUCUUUGUUAUGGAUGUUGAGGUUCCUUUUAAAAAAUCUUUGGCUUAUUAAAUCCUUGCUUUGACACCUGUGAAAAAUACUUAUAGCUUAGGUUAUGAGUCAAGUCUAGAGUUUCUCCCAAGUAGAAGAGAUAAAAUACUAUUCAUUGACCAAUAUAAACUAGGCAAUUUAUUCAUAUAUACAAGACACAAUAAGCAUGAAAGAUACAUAACAAGUUCAUUCACAGAGCCUCUUAACAUAAUUCAGUAACCUAACCAAUAACUAUUCUGAAAGUGUGCUAUUUAAAUCUCAUCAGAAUAUAAAACAGUUUUUAGUACAACUAAUCAGGUAGGUUAUAUAGUGCAUUGACACUGGCACUGUCCAAACAAUUCUUGGUAAAUAUAUGUUGGUAAAAUGGCCAGUCUUGGAUCAAUCCUUUUGUUGGUGAACUAAGAGUAUUAUAAUACUUGCUGGGGCCUCCUCCUCUGCCACCUAUCAAUCCACAUAAAUCAUCAGUAUUCAUCUUUGUUACCAGUAAAACCCAAUAGGAAGAAAUAGAAAGAAGUUCCAUUUAAAAUAACCAUGGCUUUUCUUUUCCUUUUUUAAAAAAUAAAUUGUUACUUUCUGUUUUAUUAUUCUAAGACAGAAGAGCCACAAAGGCUAGGCAAUCAGGGUUAUGCGACUUAAAUAGCUAGAAAAUUUCUGAGGUCAAAUUUGAUCCCAGGUUCUCCAGACCCAGGACUCUAUCUACUGUGCUACCUAGCUGCCUCCCACCCCACUUUUAUUUUACCCUUCAUUUAAAAAAAUUUUGAUCAGUUUCACUACCAAAUUAAUAAUUAUAUUUUUUAUUACUAGAAUUUAUUUCCAGGUAUCUCAGUCUUCCUUUUCCUCCUCAUACCACUGAAGGCAUUAUCAAGCAAACAGACAUGUAUAUAUAGAUUGUCUUUCAUGAACUUCCCAGUUCAUUCUCAUUCUGGAGGUGAACAUUCACAAGUUAUCUUUCAAAUAUUAAAUUUGUAGCUUUAUAUAAUGUUCUUUUGGUUCUAUUAAUUUCUUUCUUUAUUUUCUCAUGUAGUUCUUUCCAAAUUAAAAAAAAAAUAAUCUAUUCAUCUUUUCUUACAGCACAAUAGUAUUCCAUCACAAUCAUCUACUACAAUUUUUUUAGUCAUUCCCAAUUGAUGGACAUCCUCUCCAUUUUCAGUUCUUUGUCAUGACAAGGAACUGCUGUAAAUAUUUUGGAACAUAUAAAUUCUUUUCCUUUUCCCUAAUUUCCUUGGGAAAUAAACCCAACAAAAAUAUUGCUGGGUCUAAGGGAAUAGAUGAUUUUAUAGCUCUCUAGGUAGGUGUAAUUCCAAACUGCUCUCCAAAAUGGUUGGAUCAGUGUAGUUUCAACAACAGUAGUGGCCCACUUUUCCACAUUCCCUCCAACAUUCAACAUUUUGCACUUUGGCCAUUUUAGUCACUCUGACUGGUGUGAGAAAAGACCUCAGAAUUGUUUUGGUUUGUAUUUCCUUAAAUUGUAGUGAUUUAGAGCCUUUUAUUCAUGUACCUAUUGAAACCCCAUUUAACAGUUGGGAAUUAGUUCUUAUUUUCAUAAAUUUGACAAAGUCCUCUAUAUAUUUUAGAUAUGAGAACUCUAUCCAAGAGACUGUCUAUAAAAAUUCCCCCUCAACCCAUUUUCUGUUUUCCUUCUAAACUAGGCAACAUUUGUUUUAUUUCUACAAAACCUUUUCAAUUUAAUGUACUGAAAAUUAUAUAUGUUAAAUUCAUAAUGUUUUCCAUUUCUUGUUUACUUAUAAAUUCCUCUCCAAUCUAUAAAUCUGAUACGUGAUAUGCUCCUUGUUCUUUUAGUUUGCUAUGAUAUCUUCUUUUAUGUCUAUGUCAUGUAUCCAUUUUUAUUUUAUCUUAGGUUGAAUGGUAUUAGAUAUUGGUCUAUAACUAGUUUCUGACAAGCUACUUUAAAAUUGUUCCAAUAAUUUUUAUCAAAUAGUGAUUUCUUUUCCCAAUAGUCUGGUUCUAUACUUUUGUUAAAUACAUAGGUUGCUAUACUAGUUUACUUCUGUUUGUUUUAUGUCUGUUCUGUUCUACUGUUCUACUCUUCUAUUUCUUAGCCAUUACCAGAUAGUUAUAAUAAUUACUGCCUUAUAAUAAAUACAGUUUAAAAUCUG